UGAACUGAUGGUCACCGUCUUCUUUGUUC
rnacentral:sRNA from 1 species